rnacentral:rRNA from 1 species
GAUGAACGCUGGCGGCGUGCCUAAUACAUGCAAGUCGAGCGAACAGACGAGGAGCUUGCUCCUUUGACGUUAGCGGCGGACGGGUGAGUCACACGUGGGUAACCUACCUAUAAGACUGGGAUAACUUCGGGAAACCGGAGCUAAUACCGGAUAAUAUUUCGAACCGCAUGGUUCGAUAGUGAAAGAUGGCUUUGCUGUCACUUAUAGAUGGACCUGCGCCGGAUUAGCUAGUUGGUAAGGUAACGGCCUACCAAGGCAACGAUACGUAGCCGACCUGAGAGGGUGAUCGGCCACACUGGAACUGAGACACGGUCCAGACUCCUACGGGAGGCAGCAGUAGGGAAUCUUCCGCAAUGGGCGAAAGCCUGACGGAGCAACGCCGCGUGAGUGAUGAAGGUCUUCGGAUCGUAAAACUCUGUUAGUAGGGAAGAACAAAAGUGUAAGUAACUGUGCACGUCUUGACGGUACCUAAUCAGAAAGCAACGGCUAACUACGUG